GGCCCCGUGGUGUAGUGGCUUGCACGCUGGGGAUAUAUUUGAGAUAUUAUAACAUCUAAAGUAUAUUAAGAGGUCGCAGUUCGAAUCUGUGCGGGGCCA